GCUGAAUCUGAUGGCUAGGAGGUGACUCAGACACUCAUUAACCCUCACACACAGAGCUUCCAGGAAGCCCGGCGGCAGGAAAGGCACAGCACUGGAGCACUCACAGGCCACCCUGCAGCAGAAGGGAUGCGGUGAGGAGGGGCAAAAUAAUGAAUGCUGAGCCACAGAACCAGCCCUGUCCUGGGGAAGACAUGUCAGUUCUCCGUCCUCGCCAUUGGUUAAGAGCAGCUUGGCACCCUUCCCCUAAGUCAGCCAUCACCACAUCAGAACUGGCCUGGAAGAAGAGAGAAGAAAAUCAGCCGGGGAAAGAAAGGCCUUCGAGAGUGUGUGGAUCUCCCUGCUGCCAUUUACAAACAGAACAAAGAAACUGGCCAGUCACCCAAGUAGAACCUCAAGUCCUUCCUUGCAGCUGACGACUUCCAAAUGGGCUGUUUCUCAAACUCUCGGUUGCAAGACCUCCCUGGAGACACGCUUACUUCUUGUAAGGCUGUUAAGAGCCAAAAGAAAUGACGAUAAAGGUUCCAGUGGGUAGUUUUGACUUGUUACCAGCCCUUUGUUUUCAGACUCACAAUCACCAAGUUCCUGAUUUCUUUUAAUGAGGCUUUCUCUCACAUGCGUGCUCACACAAAGACACAACCACAGUGGGGAGCAGGGAGAGAGACAUAAAUGAGUGUGUGCAUUGGUCAUGAUAGCACUUGCACAUGUCUCAGGUUGAAGACCAGCCUGGCAGCUAUUGUUUUUAGAACAAAACCUGCAAAGCCUAGCUCAUAUGCAGUUUUGUUAAAAACAAAACAAAAAAACUUUCAAUGAAUAUCAAACGAUCUGCAGGCUGCGGAAACAGGUCGGUUAAAUGCUCACCUUGUUUGAUCUUCAGAACCUUCGUUUAGAAAAAAAAAAAAGUUGGGUGGGGUGGCACACCUGUGAUCCCAGUGCAAGUGAGGUGGAGACAGGUGGCUGUCUGAGGUUCAGUGGCCAGCCAACCUAGCCUAGUAGGUGGGUUCCAGGCCUACACCAAAAUGUAAAAGAUAGAUGAUUUCUGAAAAAUGACACUUGAAGUUUUCCUCUGGCCUCCCAAGCAUGUGUACACAUGACCGAACACAUAUACACACACACACACACACAUCUGGGGAACAGAGGGCAUAAGGAGUGACCUGAAUUGAAUAAUUCCCUCUGUUCGGUUUCCAUCCUAUAGAAAGUCGUGUGCAGAAGGGAAGCAAAGCUUGUGUCACAAGACGGGGCAGGGAUUGGUGUGAAUCUGUUUCAUUCUGUUUAACAGAGGGCAAUGUGUUUGUGAGCCCCUAGACAGCACAAUCUUUAGAUUUAAAAUAGGCUUCCCAAACUGAUGCCUGGCUGCCUUUGUCCCAUAAGAAAGCAUCCCCAAAUAAGCCCUCGGUGAAAAUAUUUCCAAAAACAGAGUUUAUAUGUGGCAUCGUCCUGAAGAUUCUGAAGCAAACAUUGGUAAAGUUGGGCUGCCUCAUCAGGAAAACUCCUCGAAGAGUCUAAUGACUGUUUUCUGGCUGAAAUGUCCUCCAUCGCAGAGGUCAAUCAUCCACUUUCUCCGUCAGACAGCCAGAAGUAAUACGGACACCCAGGUACUAUCUGUCUGCAGCUCACCAAAUUUCUGAGGUCAAAGCAUUUAUACAGUGAGGUCUUUCAGUGCCAUUAACCGUGAAAAUAUCCAAUAUCAAAAUGAUUCUGAAUCUCAAAAGCAAUUUGAGUUUUAAUCUGAGUAUUCAAGGUAUGCACCCUUGUAGCUGUUGCAUCCAACUAUCGGUCGACCCUAAAUCGGUCAAAUUGAUGAGGUCGGUGACAUGAAAUAAAAGAC
rnacentral:lncRNA from 1 species